rnacentral:tRNA from 1 species
AGGGGGCUAGCUCAAUUGGCAGAGCGGCGGUCUCCAAAACCGCAGGUUACGGGUUCGAUUCCUGUGCCCCCUG